AACGAACGCUGGCGGCAUGCCUUACACAUGCAAGUCGAACGGCAGCAUGACCUAGCUUGCUAGGUUGAUGGCGAGUGGCGAACGGGUGAGUAAUGCAUCGGAACGUGCCUUUUAGUGGGGGAUAACGUAGCGAAAGUUACGCUAAUACCGCAUAUUCUCUGAGGAGGAAAGCAGGGGACCUUCGGGCCUUGCGCUAGAAUAGCGGCCGAUGUCGGAUUAGCUAGUUGGUGAGGUAAAGGCUCACCAAGGCAACGAUCCGUAGCGGGUCUGAGAGGAUGAGCCGCCACACUGGGACUGAGACACGGCCCAGACUCCUACGGGAGGCAGCAGUGGGGAAUUUUGGACAAUGGGCGCAAGCCUGAUCCAGCCAUGCCGCGUGAGUGAAGAAGGCCUUCGGGUUGUAAAGCUCUUUCGGCUGGGAAGAAAUCGCACCCUCUAAUACAGGGUGUGGAUGACGGUACCAGCAUAAGAAGCACCGGCUAACUACGUG
rnacentral:rRNA from 1 species